UUGUCCCGAUAGCGCGAACGACCGGUCGAUCAUACUCUAAAUUUAGCACACGCGCUUCGAACGAAACGAUAGAAGAAGAGACGUCGAGCGUGUAACCACGCAACGCGCAGGACGGACGUCUCUUUCUCUCUUUCUCUCUUUGUGUCUCUCUCUUUUUCUUUGUCUCUCUCUCUCUCUCUUUGUUCUCUCUCUUUGUUCUCUCUCUGAUGUCUCUGUCUUUCUCACUCUUUCUUUCCUUCCUUCCUUACUUUCUCUCUCCUUCACACGUCCGCUCACACACGCUCACAUAUCUCCAGGAGGAAAAAAAUCACAUUUAAUUCACUAACGCACUGAAAUAUACUGAAGAAGAAGAAGAGUAGCAACUUGAAAUCAUCAGAUAGACGGCUCGAGCUUUUCUGAGUGAGCUCGCUCUCACUAGGUCCGUUCGUUCGCUUACUGUCUAAGGCGCUGUCAAUGUCAGCUGAUCGAAUCAACGCCGACCGAAUACGUUGGAUUCUCAACGAUUCUCUCAGUGAACAUAACUAUUUUAUUUCGUUGGAAGGUAUGUGUUUUCGUAAGUGUUAAGACAGUUCUUUGUAAAGAAGGAUUCUUGAGAUUCCAUUGACCACACGCAUUUCCUUUACCCACACACGACAUUCUCGUGAUUAUGUGAGCGAGAAAACACGAAUGGACAGGAAAGACUCUCGCGCCAUAACACCUUCGUCGCAGCAUGGAGUCUAAAGUAUAAAGGUGAUCUCACUCGUAAAUGCGUGGGUGAGAGCGACGGUAUCCGAGACUCACCGUAUUUGCACACCUGCGCAGCACAACGUUAUAUGUCGCGUAAUAAUGUCCGCAAGCAAUUAUCGCACGACGACCGCCCUCGAGAGACAAUGGAAAAGUUGCUUUGUUGUUCGUACCCAUGAAUAUCAGAGAACACACAUACGCACACAAUGGAUUAGUAAAUACUUUUUCGAUGAUAAGAAGAGAAAGAGAGAGAGAGAGAGAGAGAGAGAGAGAGAGAGAACAGCAGAAAGAAAAAAGAGAAAGAGCAAAGUCUGGCCUUGCUGCAUCGUCAUAACCAACUUGUACAUCGUCGAAGCAGCACGUGCACGCGUGAGAAGAGUCGGCCGAGUAGAGUGAUUCACUAUAACCGAAACUAGGUUGCUCUUCGAGAAAGACAAACAACAUUUCAAAAAUAGUUCCAGCCUGCCAGACGAUCAGCGGAAAUGCGGAAACGGAUUCUUAGAAGUUCAGCCGAGAAUGAAACCGAUCUAUUAUAACAAUUUGCUUUCGUUUCAUUGAACAAAGUCAAACUAAGAGGCUUGGUUUUACACUCAACGAAGUAAAGUAUGUUAUCAAAAGGAAGAAUAGGUCCUUCCUUAAAAAAGAAGAAAAAAAAAAAAAGGAAACAAGAACGCUAUUCGAAUAUUUACACGUAAUCCUUAGCAAUGUGUUUCUCGUUGUUGGACCAUAAACAUACGAAAGCUAAAACAUUUAACGUUUGAUACGAUACUCGAAACAUUUACACUGGAGUUUACGUCUCGCUUCGUAUCUCAAGUAAUCGGUGGAUUCACUUUCACGUGCCGUGAAAGGAGCGAAUCGAUGAUGCGAGUUUCCUUAUCGAUACCCGCUAUCAACGAGCAUGAGAAUGUAAGUAAGUGCCUAACGUAACUCCUAUCUUUUUCUCUUCUUUUUCUACUUUUUUUCUAUAUAUUUUUUUUCUGCUUUUUACCUUCUAAGAUUAUUUCUUUAGCGCAACGAAUGUGUAUAUUCCCCAAUCGUCCAAUUAAAUGUAUAAUAUAUAAUUUCGUUGAUUAAGAAAUAACGUGAAAUAUGUUAUAUGUAUGGUGCGAUAUAGAAACGAGUUUAUGAUUUUCAAGUGGUGAAAGGCUUGGAUUUAUGAAAGUGACUUUGGAAAAGCUAGAAACAAUCGUGUCACGAUCUCCUCGUAGUUUAUAGUUGGUCCCCUACUGCGUUAGACAAACGAAGAGUUCGAAAUAAACUAAGCCAACGAUCUAAGGUGGAGUCCUUUGAAUGCUAUCGGGCAAACGAAAAUAGGUAGGAGAUAGAAGUAGGCUUUUAAAAUUGACUUCAAUAUGACGAACGACCAACGGAAAGAUAAAUGAAAGGAAUCGAGGUCAAUCUAUCUAUCACGAAAAUGACAAAAUCGAUGGCGUUGAUUUCUGUUAUCAUUGUUUUCUAUUAAUCCUCUAUAACCCAAUUUUGUUUUGUGUUUAUACAAAGAUUAUAUAUACGUGUGUGUAUGAUAUGAAAAUUAUGGUACAUUACUCAUACUAAUAUUUAUAAUUAUACUAUUAAUAUAAAUGAUACUAGUAUAAGUAUCACUAGUAUAUUAUAUUAUUAUAAGUAUAUAAGCAUAUAUAAUAAUUAUACCAUUAUAAAAAAUAUUAUAACUAAAUACUAUAAUAUAACGUAAUUCUCUUAAAAUGAUACACAUAUGAUUAUACUAUGUAUGUAAAUCAAACUUACAAAAUGAAGAUAUAUAAACGUGUAAUUUCAAAGUUACAUGGUGUUAUAGAGGAUUAAAUCAAUUCGACGAAUAACGGUCGACUCCAAUCGUACUUUGGACGACGAAGAAAUAACGUAGGACUGGUCGAAGUCGUCACAGCCGUUACGAUUUAUCGCAUAAACUAUCAAUACUCAUCUCGGCACGCAGCGUGGGCAUCGUCGAUUACGCUAACUCGACGACAUCCUUGUAACGCAAAAUGUUUCCAACGCAACAUUGACAGAGAUACACGCCUUACUUCGUCUUUCUAAACUUUUUAAUACGUUUUUUCUAAACGAUCCAAAGAAGAAAAAUUCAUAAAAAUACGAUCUCUCGAGAUUAUUAAUCUUGAUAAACCAUUUUUUUCUACCAUAAAACGAAUCUCGAUUAAAAUUUAUUCUAUCAUCCAAAAUUAGUAUGAGAAAGAUGUAAUACGUCACCGACGACAUUCAUAACUCGUCUUCGAAUGUCAACGUUUUAUUUUUACUUCGAACUACGCAUAGAGAAAGAGAAAGAGAGAGAGAGAGAGAGAGAGAGAGAGAGAGAGAGCAGCAAGCAAUCGUUAUAAAUCUUCAACUCUAAAGCAACCUCUAAGACGUUUACGAUCUGUUAGAUAAUAUUAGAUCAACGGUGGUAUCCAUCUAACAAAACGAUUGUCAAUCAUCGAAGCUAAAUCGAUUUACCAAAAUUUUCCUCGCAACGAAUCUUUGAUAUUAUUAUUUUAUAUCCCGAUGAUAUACAAUCGUAUAUCUUUCUCUCUAUUUUUUUCUCUCUAAAGAAAAAUUUGAUUAAGGGACUCCAUCAUCUCUUUCGCUUUCUUCUUCUUGUCACGCUAUUCCCCUUACAUAGCAAUUAAUUCGUUAUUACCGCAUUGCCGGGUUGUAAGUCACGGAAAGUAAUUACAACGCUUGGUAAUUCCUGCACCGUUAAGUUACGCAGCUGGGAUAAUGGGACAUAGUUUUUUCCUUCAACACAAUUUCAGUACGAUCUAACUCAUUUUCAUCUUACCAUCGUGCUCGCUGUUAAUAUCUUAUUAUUAAUUCUUUGAGAAAAAAUAAUAAUAGAAAAAGAAAAAAGUAAUUAUCCUCUUAUCGAUAAUACGAAAUCGAAUUGAUUAGUGUUAAUGAAAAAAUGAUCGAUGAGAUCGAUACGGACGAUUCAAAUUUCAAGGAAACUCGUUGCUGAUACGAGUUUAAUCGAGAGAAACUAGAUACUCUUUAGCCAGCAUGCAUUAGCAGCUGUUUUCUCAGUGAUCGGUACCUAAGUAGCAGGGAAAUACACGGUUCGAUCGAUUCUAUGGAUCGUUGCCAAAACAAAUAAAGCCAAAUAGAUGUUUUCGUUCGAUGGAUGAAGAUGAUGAUGUUGGGAAGACUUACCUCCAAAUGUGUGGGGAAAAUCCAGGACACACGUCUCCAC